GUGGCGCACGGGUGAGUAACACGUAGAUAACGUUCCUUUUGGUUCAGAAUAACCUGCCGAAAGGCGGGCUAAUGCUGGAUGAGUUCCUUUGGUGUUCGCACUGGGGGGGGAAGAAAGCAGGGCAACUUGCGCCGAAAGAUCGGUCUGCGUCCCAUCAGCUAGUUGGUGAGGUAACGGCUCACCAAGGCGACGACGGGUAGCUGGUCUGAGAGGAUGAUCAGCCACACUGGGACUGAGACACGGCCCAGACUCCUACGGAGGCAGCAGUGGGGAAUAUUGGUCAAUGGGCGAAAGCCUGAACCAGCAAUGCCGCGUGAGUGAUGAAGGCCUUCGGGUUGUAAAGCUCUGUCGGGAGGGACGAAAAAGCUCGGGUAACGCCGGGACUUGACGGUACCUCCAAAGGAAGCACCGGCUAACUCUGUGCCAGCAGCCGCGGUAA
rnacentral:rRNA from 1 species